ensembl:lncRNA
CAGGGCUUUGCAUUACUAAAGCAUCGAUAAACAUUAAACAUCAUCACAUACUGUACACACACUCCUCCUGUAAUGCACUGCAUGCUGACUGCUCAUGGGAAGGACCCGUUUGAGAGCAGCCAUGACCGAAGGCCAGAUGAGACUUCAGCUUCCUCCAUCUGUCCCUCUCACUUCCUGAGUGCUCAAUGCUCUUUGAUGACUUUUUUAUUUCAUUUUUGGAACAAAUAAGUUUUCUCAACAACAUUUGGGCUUUUAGAGGCUUUAAAAUAUGAUAUUACACUUCCAGAAACUUUCAUUUUUAAAUGUGCAUUUAGCCUUGACUGUCAUUUUAGACUGUAUUGAUUAUUCGUUUCGAUGAUUCCUUACAAAAUAAUCUCUCUUUCUGUUAAAAGCCUCAGAAGGCACGUACUGCAUCUAAUGCAUGUUGCACAAAAAGCGCUUCCAGAAAAGCUGAAGUUUGCAGGCUGGUGAAAUAAAAGCACCUGCUAAAUGACCAAAAAACACGGUAGUACCGUAGCACUGUUUUUUGGGUUGUCAGCGUGACGUUGCAGAUAAACAGUGAUAUCUGAGGCGCAGGGCACAUGCAGGCCGCUGGAAAUGUUGCUUUUAAGCGACUCGCUUUCUCCGGGUUUCCCAUUUCUGCUUUUAUGGAUGGAGUGCCAAUCAUAGUCUCUUGAUAUCUCUCACGCUAACAUUAUUGAGUACAUUACAGCACAUGCCUGAGCCAUGAAAGCAUCAAUAACAUCCUCAUCAGCACGAGACAGACCAGCCCUCAGAAGAGAAGAGUGCAGACAGCAACAAACUCCAAGCUGCAGAGUGAAAACAAGUGAGAAAAACAUAUGAGUUUUUAUUUUUUGCAGAAAAAUAAACUAACAAAAACUAUUUCUAAGAGAGCGAGAGAGAGAGAGAGUGUGUGUGUGUGUGUGUGUGUGUGAGAGAGAGAGAGAGUGUGUGUGUGUGUGUGUGUGUGUUUGUGUGUGUGUGUGUGAGAGAGAGAGAGAUAGUGUGUGUGUGUGUGUGUGUGUGUGAGAGAGAGAGAUAGUGUGUGUGUGUGUGUGUGUGUGUUUGUGUGUGUAAGAGAGAGAGAGAGUGUGUGUGUGUGUGUGUGUGUGUGUGAGAGAGAGAGAGAGUGUGUGUGUGUGUGUGUGUGUGUGUGAGAGAGAGAUAGUGUGUGUGUGUGUGUGUGUGAGAGAGAGAGAGAGUGUGUGUGUGUGUGUGUGUGAGAGAGAGAGAGAGAGAGAGAGAGAGUGUGUGUGUUAAUUACAUGAACAGGUGUGUGUGAGUCACAUAUCAUGUUUCAUGUUUGUUUUUACAAUCACAUUCAGUCACAUGAGAGCACAGAGAAAUAUGACGUGAGCCAAAAUACAGAUAUUAAACAUUUCACACUCAAUUUGUACUUCAUUAACUUGAUUGUUUUUAAAAGUUGUAAAUAAAAGUUUAUUGCAGCAUGUUUUACAAGAAAAUGCAAAUUCAGUCUAUUUAUGAAAUAUAUUUAUGAAAUUUAAUAACAAUUUAGAAAGUAAAUCCAACACCAAUUUUUGUGCAUUUCAAUGUUGUUGUUUUUAACCAUUAAGACACUAUUAUAUUUUUUUUUGAAGUAGUUUUUCAUUAUUAUUAUUUUUUUUUAAUUUUAAAGUUUUAGUAAUCUUGUUGUG